rnacentral:rRNA from 1 species
GUACUUGGUGUUACUGCGAAGGGGGGACGGAGAAGGCUAUGUUGGCCGGGCGACGGUUGUCCCGGUUUAAGCGUGUAGGUGUGUGUUCCAGGUAAAUCCGGUUCACUUUAACACUGAGGCGUGACGACGAGGCACUACGGUGCUGAAGCAACAAAUGCCCUGCUUCCAGGAAAAGCCUCUAAGCAUCAGGUAACAUCAAAUCGUACCCCAAACCGACACAGGUGGUCAGGUAGAGAAUACCAAGGCGCUUGAGAGAACUCGGGUGAAGGAACUAGGCAAAAUGGUGCCGUAACUUCGGGAGAAGGCACGCUGACACGUAGGUGAAGUGAUUUACUCAUGGAGCUGAAGUCAGUCGAAGAUACCAGCUGGCUGCAACUGUUUAUUAAAAACACAGCACUGUGCAAACACGAAAGUGGACGUAUACGGUGUGACGCCUGCCCGGUGCCGGAAGGUUAAUUGAUGGGGUCAGCGCAAGCGAAGCUCCUGAUCGAAGCCCCGGUAAACGGCGGCCGUAACUAUAACGGUCCUAAGGUAGCGAAAUUCCUUGUCGGGUAAGUUCCGACCUGCACGAAUGGCGUAAUGAUGGCCAGGCUGUCUCCACCCGAGACUCAGUGAAAUUGAACUCGCUGUGAAGAUGCAGUGUACCCGCGGCAAGACGGAAAGACCCCGUGAACCUUUACUAUAGCUUGACACUGAACAUUGAGCCUUGAUGUGUAGGAUAGGUGGGAGGCUUUGAAGUGUGGACGCCAGUCUGCAUGGAGCCGACCUUGAAAUACCACCCUUUAAUGUUUGAUGUUCUAACGUGGACCCGUAAUCCGGGUUGCGGACAGUGUCUGGUGGGUAGUUUGACUGGGGCGGUCUCCUCCUAAAGAGUAACGGAGGAGCACGAAGGUUGGCUAAUCCUGGUCGGACAUCAGGAGGUUAGUGCAAUGGCAUAAGCCAGCUUGACUGCGAGCGUGACGGCGCGAGCAGGUGCGAAAGCAGGUCAUAGUGAUCCGGUGGUUCUGAAUGGAAGGGCCAUCGCUCAACGGAUAAAAGGUACUCCGGGGAUAACAGGCUGAUACCGCCCAAGAGUUCAUAUCGACGGCGGUGUUUGGCACCUCGAUGUCGGCUCAUCACAUCCUGGGGCUGAAGUAGGUCCCAAGGGUAUGGCUGUUCGCCAUUUAAAGUGGUACGCGAGCUGGGUUUAGAACGUCGUGAGACAGUUCGGUCCCUAUCUGCCGUGGGCGCUGGAGAACUGAGGGGGGCUGCUCCUAGUACGAGAGGACCGGAGUGGACGCAUCACUGGUGUUCGGGUUGUCAUGCCAAUGGCACUGCCCGGUAGCUAAAUGCGGAAGAGAUAAGUGCUGAAAGCAUCUAAGCACGAAACUUGCCCCGAGAUGAGUUCUCCCUGAGACU